CUGACUGGCUCGAUACUGACACUGAGGUGCGAAAGCGUGGGAGCAAACGGGAUUAGAUACCCCGGUAGUCACGCCGUAAACGAUGUCUACUAGCCGUUGGAGGACUUGAUCCUUUAGUGGCGCAGCUAACGCGAUAAGUAGACCGCCUGGGGAGUACGGUCGCAAGAUUAAAACUCAAAUGAAUUGACGGGGGCCCGCACAAGCGGUGGAGCAUGUGGUUUAAUUCGAAGCAACGCGAAGAACCUUACCUACUCUUGACAUCCAGUGAACUUUUGAGAGAUCAAUUGGUGCCUUCGGGAACACUGAGACAGGUGCUGCAUGGCUGUCGUCAGCUCGUGUUGUGAAAUGUUGGGUUAAGUCCCGUAACGAGCGCAACCCUUGUCCUUAGUUACCAUCAUUAAGUUGGGGACUCUAAGGAGACUGCCGGUGACAAACCGGAGGAAGGCGGGGACGACGUCAAGUCAUCAUGGCCCUUACGAGUAGGGCUACACACGUGCUACAAUGGCAUGUACAAAGGGUUGCCAAGCCGCGAGGUGGAGCUAAUCCCAUAAAGCAUGUCGUAGUCCGGAUUGGAGUCUGCAACUCGACUCCAUGAAGUCGGAAUCGCUAGUAAUCGUGAAUCAGAAUGUCACGGUGAAUACGUUCCCGGGCCUUGUACACACCGCCCGUCACACCAUGGGAGUGGGUUGCUCCAGAAGUAGAUAGCCUAACCUUCGGGAGGGCGUUUACCACGGAGUGAUUCAUGACUGGGGUGAAGUCGUAACAAGGUAACCGUA
rnacentral:rRNA from 1 species